AGUGAAAAUAAGUUAGUUUAAAAUGAAAUAAUGUAAUAAAUAUAUAAAGAAAAGUUUUAUAAAUAAGUAUGCAAUAAAAGAAAUAUCAAAAAGAGUCAUUUAAAAAAGAAAAAUUGUUUUCAAGUUAAAAAUUCCAACAAAAUUGUUCACCAUUUUGGUUUAAUGGAGCCUUCUUAAUGUUGUUGUUUUUGUAAAACUAUGUAUAAAAAUAUAAUAAAAAGUGUGUAUUUGGUUUAUUGGUUAAAAGAUUAGCAUAAUUAAAACUAUAUAAUGAUCAAAAUAUAAAACAAUUAAAUAGAAAGCUGUCUGUUUUAACAUUUGCUAAGGAGCCUCCUGCCAGUGUACUAACAAGUUAGUGCAGACAGGCAGCAAAACGAAGUGUUUUUUUAUUGGAAAUAUACAAACUGUGAUUAGGAAAUUCGUAAAGAGGACAACCAAAGCUGUUGCUGUUUCGUAGUUAAUAUAAAAAACAGGAGACCAUGCAUGAACAUGAACAGGCAUGCAUGCUUGACAGGCAUAAAAUGCUUUAGAAUUAACUCAAGGAUAAAGAGUGCAGAAAAAUUAGCUUUGGUAAAGGAACAAUUUUAUAUUUAACUUUUCAAAAGAAAAGAGGGCUUCGAAAUAAUUGCAUUUAAUGGCUUCCCACAAAUAGAAAAAUAACGGAAACAAUGGCUGUGAAACAAACAAAAGACAAUAAUGAUGACUUCACUUCCACUUCAACAAAACAGGCUUUUAACGCUAAUGGAAUCAGUUUAACAAACAUCAGUCAGAGUCAGUCAAUCAAUCAACAAAUCCAUCAUGAUGAUCAUCAAGAACGUCAUUUCUCUCCACACACACACACGCACACACAUUUUUCUUUCUGAGAAACUCAACAGAAAUUAUGUUGUCUGUAUAUAAAGAUAUACAUAUAUACAUAUGUAUGUAAGACAUUUAUAGUGGGAGUCUCUCUCUCUCUGUCUCUUGCAAAUAAAGUUAAAACAAGAGUACAUAAUUCUUUAGAAAAAAUAUCAUUUGCAGUAGAGUGACAAAACAUCACCCUAAAAGAAAUCAUUAUGAGGGUUUAGCUUGCAAUGCAAAAAAAAUAUAAAAAUAACAAAUACCAUCAUCAUUAUUAGCAACAUGAAGCUACAACAAGAUCAUCAGCAGAGACAGCAACAGCAACAACGUGAACAGUUAAAAAAACUAAAUUUAUGGAUUAUUUUUAUGUUGCAGAAUUACAACCGAGUCUAAGAUGCCAAUUGCGCACAUCUCAGAAAAAAUAUAAACUAACAAGAUCUAAACUGAUCACUUCAACAAAAAGCUUACAAAAGAGUACAUCCCUUCAAUCUUCUUCUUAAGAACGUAUAUAAUGGAUUUUACAAACCUGAUACUUAACUGUACAAAUAUUAAUUGCUUGGGACUUAGAUGUUUUUAAAUAUUAUGAAUACAAACUUAAAAUGUAAUAUGACAUUUAUUUAAAUAAAAUAGUUAAAAAAAGUGCAUUAAUUAUUUAUGGUUUUAUUAAAGUUUGUUUAAAUUACCAGAAAUAUGUUUAAAUUAGAAAAACGUUAAAUAAUUACUUAUAAAUUAGCAAAAGUCUGGCAAGCCUGUUAACACCUAAAAUCAGCGCCAUCUAUUGGUUGCCUAUUGGCUAUGUUUGCAUACGACAUGUCAGUCUGGCAAUAUUGGGUAAAAUUUUGCAUGGCACUAUGUAAAACAGUCUGGCAACUCUAUACAUUUUUAAAACUUUUGCAGAGUUGCCAGAUGAUUUUCUUUAGUGGCAUGCCGAUUGUGCGUCAAUAUUGCCAGACUGACAUGUUGUUUGCAGAAACAGCCAAUAGUCAACCAAUAGAUGGCGCUAAUUUUAUGUAUUGACAGGGUUGCCAGACUUUUCAAAAUUAACUUGUAUAUUGAAACGGUUUCUUUUCAUUUUAAAUAUUAUAAAGACUUGAAUA